rnacentral:rRNA from 1 species
UUCAAAACUGGCGAACUAGAGUAUGGUAGAGGUGAGUGGAAUUUCCUGUGUAGCGGUGAAAUGCGUAGAGAUGGGAAGGAACAUCAGUGGCGAAGGCGACUCACUGGACCAAUACUGACACUGAGGUACGAAAGCGUGGGUAGCAAACAGGAUUAGAUACCCUGGUAGUCCACGCCGUAAACGAUGUCUACUAGCCGUUGGGGUCCUUGAGACUUUAGUGGCGCAGCUAACGCACUAAGUAGACCGCCUGGGGAGUACGGUCGCAAGAUUAAAACUCAAAUGAAUUGACGGGGGCCCGCACAGGCGGUGGAGCAUGUGGUUUAAUUCGAAGCAACGCGAAGAACCUUACCUACUCUUGACAUCCAGAGAAUUUAGCAGAGAUGCUUUAGUGCCUUCGGGAACUCUGAGACAGGUGCUGCAUGGCUGUCGUCAGCUCGUGUUGUGAAAUGUUGGGUUAAGUCCCGUAACGAGCGCAACCCUUGUCCUUAGUUACUAACAUUAAGUUGAGAACUCUAAGGAGACUGCCGGUGACAAACCGGAGGAAGGCGGGGACGACGUCAAGUCAUCAUGGCCCUUACGAGUAGGGCUACACACGUGCUACAAUGGCCAGUACAAAGGGUUGCCAAGCCGCGAGGUGGAGCUAAUCCCAGAAAGCUGGUCGUAGUCCGGAUCGGAGUCUGCAACUCGACUCCGUGAAGUCGGAAUCGCUAGUAAUCGUGAAUCAGAAUGUCACGGUGAAUACGUUCCCGGGCCUUGUACAC